rnacentral:lncRNA from 1 species
GUCCAGAAAACUCCACAGGAAGUAAGCUUGGACUCUACAGCCAUCUCUGCCAACAAAAAGCUGGAAGGUAAGCUUCGGAUCUUUUUAGUUCAGAGUCUCACCUUAUUGAUGCUGCAAGAUUUGACAGGUACGUCUUGUAAUAGUUAAUCCUGGGCUGAUCAUCCAGCUGUUGGGCCAACGGACUGGAACUGUUGGUAGUAUCACUGAUCCCUGUGAAUAAAGAGAAACAAGCUUGCUUCUACUGCAUCAGCUCGCCAGGUACGUACCAUUUUCAGUGAUAUAGAUUAUUGGAUUGCGGUACUUAUCCUUGAUGUAAUUCAUCAGCCUCCUGAUCCCGUACGGUACGACGUAGAAGCCAUUGAUAUUCCUCCCGAUCAACACGCCCUUCUUCUUGUCUGCGAGAAGACGAACGAGAGAGCUGGAAUGAGAGGAAUCCAUUUCUAGGCCCACCUAGGAACGCAAAGUCGACGUCCUUGUAGUAAGCCGGGUGGUAGAUGGCUUGGCGCUGAUUGAGGAGGUUUCCCUGGACAAAGGUACGGUUUGGAUUGUCUUUCACGUAGAGGCUGAAGUAGUGAUUGAUGCCAAUGAAAUCAGAGGUGCCUUGGAGCCAUUUCUUCUCCUCGGCUGUGAAUUUUGGGAGCCUGCUUCCAACGUUUGCGACCAACGCUGGUGGAUACUCCCCAUACGUGACGGGAUGGAGCAUCCUGGACGCGAACAGAGUAAAGUUUUUUCGUAAGUUUAUAGAGAUCAGGGUUCUUACC